rnacentral:rRNA from 5 species
CCCCGGUAAACGGCGGCCGUAACUAUAACGGUCCUAAGGUAGCGAAAUUCCUUGUCGGGUAAGUUCCGACCUGCACGAAUGGCGUAAUGAUGGCCAGGCUGUCUCCACCCGAGACUCAGUGAAAUUGAACUCGCUGUGAAGAUGCAGUGUACCCGCGGCAAGACGGAAAGACCCCGUGAACCUUUACUAUAGCUUGACACUGAACAUUGAGCCUUGAUGUGUAGGAUAGGUGGGAGGCUUUGAAGUGUGGACGCCAGUCUGCAUGGAGCCGACCUUGAAAUACCACCCUUUAAUGUUUGAUGUUCUAACGUGGACCCGUAAUCCGGGUUGCGGACAGUGUCUGGUGGGUAGUUUGACUGGGGCGGUCUCCUCCUAAAGAGUAACGGAGGAGCACGAAGGUUGGCUAAUCCUGGUCGGACAUCAGGAGGUUAGUGCAAUGGCAUAAGCCAGCUUGACUGCGAGCGUGACGGCGCGAGCAGGUGCGAAAGCAGGUCAUAGUGAUCCGGUGGUUCUGAAUGGAAGGGCCAUCGCUCAACGGAUAAAAGGUACUCCGGGGAUAACAGGCUGAUACCGCCCAAGAGUUCAUAUCGACGGCGGUGUUUGGCACCUCGAUGUCGGCUCAUCACAUCCUGGGGCUGAAGUAGGUCCCAAGGGUAUGGCUGUUCGCCAUUUAAAGUGGUACGCGAGCUGGGUUUAGAACGUCGUGAGACAGUUCGGUCCCUAUCUGCCGUGGGCGCUGGAGAACUGAGGGGGGCUGCUCCUAGUACGAGAGGACCGGAGUGGACGCAUCACUGGUGUUCGGGUUGUCAUGCCAAUGGCACUGCCCGGUAGCUAAAUGCGGAAGAGAUAAGUGCUGAAAGCAUCUAAGCACGAAACUUGCCCCGAGAUGAGUUCUCCC